GACGAACGCUGGCGGCGUGCCUAAUACAUGCAAGUCGAGCGAAUCGAUGGGAGCUUGCUCCCUGAGAUUAGCGGCGGACGGGUGAGUAACACGUGGGUAACCUGCCUGUAAGACUGGGAUGACUUCGGGAAACCGGAGCUAAUACCGGAUACUUUCUUUUCUCGCAUGAGGGAAGAUGGAAAGAUGGUUCUGCUAUCACUUACAGAUGGACACGCGGCGCAUUAGCUAGUUGGUGAGGUAACGGCUCCCCAAGGCGACGAUGCGUAGCCGACCUGAGAGGGUGAUCGGCCAAACUGGGACUGAGACACGGCCCAGACUCCUACGGGAGUCAGCAGUAGGGAAUCUUCCGCAAUGGACGAAAGUCUGACGGAGCAACGCCGCGUGAGUGAAGAAGGUUUUCGGAUCGUAAAACUCUGUUGUAAGGGAAGAACACGUACGAGAGUAACUGCUCGUACCUUGACGGUACCUUAUUAGAAAGCCACGGCUAACUACGUGCCAGCCGCCGCAGUAAGAC
rnacentral:rRNA from 1 species